GAUGAACGCUGGCGGCGUGCCUAAUACAUGCAAGUCGAGCGAACAGACGAGGAGCUUGCUCCUCUGACGUUAGCGGCGGACGGGUGAGUAACACGUGGAUAACCUACCUAUAAGACUGGGAUAACUUCGGGAAACCGGAGCUAAUACCGGAUAAUAUCUUGAACCGCAUGGUUCAAUAGUGAAAGACGGUUUUGCUGUCACUUAUAGAUGGAUCCGCGCCGCAUUAGCUAGUUGGUAAGGUAACGGCUUACCAAGGCAACGAUGCGUAGCCGAACUGAGAGGGUGAUAGGCCACACUGGAACUGAGACACGGUCCAGACUCCUACGGGAGGCAGCAGUAGGGAAUCGUCCGCAAUGGGCGAAAGCAUGACGGAGCAACGCCGCGUGAGUGAUGAAGGUCUUCGGAGCGUAAAACUCUGUUAUUAGGGAAGAACAAAUGUGUAAGUAACUAUGCACGUCGUGACGGUACCGAAUCAGAAAGCCACGGCUAACUACGUG
rnacentral:rRNA from 1 species